rnacentral:rRNA from 1 species
UGAGGGAAAGGCGAAAAGAACCCCGGCGAGGGGAGUGAAAAAGAACCUGAAACCGUGUACGUACAAGCAGUGGGAGCACAGGUUUACCUGUGUGACUGCGUACCUUUUGUAUAAUGGGUCAGCGACUUAUAUUCUGUAGCAAGGUUAACCGAAUAGGGGAGCCGGAGGGAAACCGAGUCUUAAUUGGGCGUUAAGUUGCAGGGUAUAGACCCGAAACCCGGUGAUCUAGCCAUGGGCAGGUUGAAGGUUGGGUAACACUAACUGGAGGACCGAACCGACUAAUGUUGAAAAAUUAGCGGAUGACCUGUGGCUGGGGGUGAAAGGCCAAUCAAACCGGGAGAUAGCUGGUUCUCCCCGAAAGCUAUUUAGGUAGCGCCUCGUGAAUUCAUCUCCGGGGGUAGAGCACUGUUUCGGCUAGGGGGCCAUCCCGGCUUACCAACCCGAUGCAAACUGCGAAUACCGGAGAAUGUUAUCACGGGAGACACACGGCGGGUGCUAACGUCCGUCGUGAAGAGGGAAACAACCCAGACCGCCAGCUAAGGUCCCAAAGUCAUGGUUAAGUGGGAAACGAUGUGGGAAGGCCCAGACAGCCAGGAUGUUGGCUUAGAAGCAGCCAUCAUUUAAAGAAAGCGUAAUAGCUCACUGGUCGAGUCGGCCUGCGCGGAAGAUGUAACGGGGCUAAACCAUGCACCGAAGCUGCGGCAGCGAACGUAUCACCCAAGACAACUUUACGGAGUUGACGAUUGACGGAGCGAAGCGACGUCAAAGCGUUCAUUAAAGUCGAGUUGGCUUAGGGAUACGUUCGUUGGGUAGGGGAGCGUUCUGUAAGCCUGUGAAGGUGUGUCGUGAGGCAUGCUGGAGGUAUCAGAAGUGCGAAUGCUGACAUAAGUAACGAUAAAGCGGGUGAAAAGCCCGCUCGCCGGAAGACCA